AAAGAACAGAGGAAUUGAAUUUUAGAUGUACUGAAUUUGAGGUAAAGGCUCAUUCCCCUAUGGAAAUCUUCCAACAAUAAAGCAGAGACACAGGAUGAAGCACAGGAGAUGAGGAACCAGGAUUCAUCCACAGAGAGCUAACAACUAAGACCACGCAAAAAAGAAAUCCAAGAGAACUACCCCCACAACUAAUUCUUCACAUUACUUGAUUUUUAUCUUUAGCUGAUACUAGUUUGGUCUAUCCAGAGUGAGACAAGAAUAAAUUCAUUAGCUAUAAUUUUAUAUUCUAAAGACUGUUUACACACACAAUUGGUAAUAAUUGAUUAUAGAAACCUAACUUAGAAGAGCCUGGGGAGCUAAGCCUUAUCAACAGGCUAUACUUAAAGAAACCUGGUGCUAGGUAAGGCAUCACCUUCCCCACAUAUUACCUGAACUUUCCUUAUUCUUGAUGGAGCAGUGGCAGCCACACAGGGUCCCAUCCUCAAAAGACCCUUCAAUCUCCUAAUAUUUUAUAUAUAUUUCCUUCAUAUAGGGUCCUAUAUAAGGGGGAAAAAACUUCAGCUCUCUUGGACACAGGACAACAGACGACACAGCAUCUCCCCACCUCAAAAAAAGCAAAACUCAACCCAGCUAUUCCUUUAAAAAGAUGUCAGUUAGUGAUCAACUCUGGAGAGAAAGCCAUACCACUGAGGCAGAGAAGUAUUUUAAAAACAUUUGUUUUGUACAUCUCAGCAUUUACACCAGGGAGCUGAUGCAUCUCUGAGCAAAUCUAUAAAACUACCUAAAUCAAGUAUUACAGCAAU
rnacentral:lncRNA from 1 species